AAUGCUGACUGAAAGGAAAAGUUCAGUUUAGGGUUUAAAACCCUAAUGCUGACUAAAGGAAAGUUUUCAGUUUAGGGUUUAAAACCCUAAUGCUAACUAAAUGGAAAAGUUCAGUUUAGGGUUUAAAACCCUAAUGCUGACUAAAUGGAAAAGUUCAGUUUAGGGUUUAAAACCCUAAUGCUGACUGAAUGAAAAAGUUCAGUUUAUUGUUUAAAACUCUAAUGCUGACUAAAGGAAAAGUUCAGUUUAGGGUUUAAAACCCUAAUGCUGACUGAAUGGAAAAGUUCAGUUUAGGGUUUAAACCCUAAUGCUGAUUAAAGGAAAAAGUUCAGUUUAGGGAUUAAAACCCUAAUACUGAUUAAAGGAAAAAGUUCAGUUUAGGGUUUAAAACCCUAAUGCUGACUGAAUAGAAAAAGUUCAGUUUAGGGUUUAAAACCCUAAUGCUGACUAAAGGAAAAAGUUACAGUUUAGGGUAUAAAACCCUAAUGCUGAUU
rnacentral:lncRNA from 1 species